CGAGUGGCGGACGGGUGAGUAAUGUCUGGGAAACUGCCUGAUGGAGGGGGAUAACUACUGGAAACGGUAGCUAAUACCGCAUAACGUCGCAAGACCAAAGAGGGGGACCUUCGGGCCUCUUGCCAUCAGACGUGCCCAGAUGGGAUUAGCUAGUAGGUGGGGGUAACGGCUCACCUAGGCGACGAUCCCUAGCUGGUCUGAGAGGAUGACCAACCACACUGGAACUGAGACACGGUCCAGACUCCUACGGGAGGCAGCAUG
rnacentral:rRNA from 1 species